GCUUAGUCCGACGAGUUAAAGUUCAAACAGGAGAACGAAAACUAAAGACUAAGUUAGGGCAUCACCCUAAACCUUCAAUCAUUGAGCGACCAAUUCAAAAAUUAGUGGUUUUACUUGAAAGCGAAUGAUUCAGUGAUCGGGACUCGUGCAUUAGACAAUUGGGUUAAACACAAGAUUAAAAUGUUUUUUUUUGUUGUGUGUUAUGUUGGAAAAGGGUCACUGAAGGUUGAAACCAUGUAUGAUAUUUGUAUGGGUUUGUUUUGGUUUGUGUUUAUCAUAACAUGAUUGGUGGGAGUGUAAUGGCCUUCCCCUUUAAUUUGUUUUGCUUGGCGUCACCACUAGAUGGCGAGAUAUACUUAUUGCAUAUAAGGGAGAGGAAACAAAGCAGGAGUAUUUUCACGUUUGUUCUUGAGCUAACAAGCUCGAGAAAAUGGUUUAAGCUUUAAGCUUUAGUAUCCCUUUGGCAAGCAGAGCGAGUUUUAUGGUGCCACCAUGCUGUGAUACAAUUGUUAUGGUGCUAUGAAGUUAAUGUGUAAACACAGUGUUGUGAUGCAUGGAGAACAUUUGCAACAAAGAAUUGAGACAACGAUCACUUCAGCAAUGAAGUUUAUUGCAUCUUAAAAUAAAUCGAAGGCACCCGUCAAAAACUCUCUGUUUCUUUUCUAUGAAGCUGAAGGGCCGCUACACAGGGGUUAAAGCAAAAAAAAAAUCCUGAGCCUGAACUUUUUUCCAGGGGCUGGGCGGGGCAGCACAUGCAAAGCAUGCAAUGACUGUGGCAGGCAACUUUAAAAUUUGAAAGGAUACUAUGGCAGAGUUUUUGCUUUCUUUAUUAAAACUGAUUUUUUUUCAUGAAUAUAUGGUUGGCCUAAAGAAUGAAAGCAGUAUCAUACACUUGGAAAAUUAUGAGCUAUAUCACUGCUUAUCAACACUAGGGGUGUGACAAUACACUUAACUCACAAGAUGAGACAAAAUACAGGUACUUGGUUCACUAGAACUAGAGAAUAUUUUAAU
ensembl:lncRNA